UAACAGGAUUCCCCUAGUAACUGCGAGUGAAGCGGGAAGAGCUCAAAUUUAAAAUCUGGCGUGCCUUUGGUCGUCCGAGUUGUAGUCUGGAGAAGCGUUUUCCGUGUUGGACCGUGUAUAAGUCUCUUGGAACAGGGCGUCAUAGAGGGUGAGAAUCCCGUCUUUGACACGGACUACCAAUGCUUUGUGAUGCGCUCUCAAAGAGUCGAGUUGUUUGGGAAUGCAGCUCAAAAUGGGUGGUAAAUUCCAUCUAAAGCUAAAUAUAGGCGAGAGACCGAUAGCGAACAAGUACCGUGAGGGAAAGAUGAAAAGCACUUUGGAAAGAGAGUUAAACAGUACGUGAAAUUGCUGAAAGGGAAACGCUUGAAGUCAGUCGCGUCUGCCAGGACUCAGCCUUGCUUUUGCUUGGUGCACUUUCUGGUCGGAUGGGCCAACAUCAAUUUUGACCGUUGGAGAAAGGCUUUGGGAAUGUGGCACCUUCGGGUGUGUUAUAGCCCUCGGUCGUAUACGACGGUUGGGAUUGAGGAUCGCAGCACGCCUUUAUGGCCGGGGUUCGCCCACGUACGUGCUUAGGAUGUUGGCAUAAUGGCUUUAAGCGACC
rnacentral:rRNA from 1 species